rnacentral:rRNA from 1 species
AUUGAACGCCGGCGGCAUGCCUUACACAUGCAAGUCGAACGGCAGCACGGGUGCUUGCACCUGGUGGCGAGUGGCGAACGGGUGAGCAAUACAUCGGAACGUACCUUAUCGUGGGGGAUAACGCAGCGAAAGCUGUGCUAAUACCGCAUACGCCCUGAGGGGGAAAGCGGGGGAUCGAAAGACCUCGCGCGAUUAGAGCGGCCGAUGCCUGAUUAGCUUGUUGGUGGGGUAAAAGCCCACCAAGGCGACGAUCAGUAGCUGGUCUGAGAGGACGAUCAGCCACACUGGGACUGAGACACGGCCCAGACUCCUACGGGAGGCAGCAGUGGGGAAUUUUGGACAAUGGGGGCAACCCUGAUCCAGCAAUGCCGCGUGAGUGAAGAAGGCCUUCGGGUUGUAAAGCUCUUUUGUCAGGGAAGAAACACCGGCUCUAACACAGUCCGGGAAUGACGGUACCUGAAGAAUAAGCACCGGCUAACUACGUGCCAGCAGCCGCCGUAA